rnacentral:ribozyme from 2 species
AGAGUAACUCCGCCUGCAGCUCUUUUAGAGUUACUGCUGGUCCCAAGCCCGGGUAAAGGAGGAGGGUUUG